rnacentral:rRNA from 1 species
AGGCGGGACACGAGCAAUCCUGCCUGAACAUGGGGGGACCACCCUCCAAGCCUGAAUACUCCCUGGUGACCGAUAGUGCACAAGUACCGUGAGGGAAAAGGUGAAAAGCACCCCGACGAGGGGAGUGAAAGAGACCUGAAACCGAAUGCCUACAAGCAGUCGGAGCCUUCUGAUGGUCCUUCGGGGACUGUCUGUAUGGUGACGGCGUACCUUUUGUAUAAUGGGGUCCCGCGAGUUCGUGUUGGCAGCAAGCUUAAGCCGCUAGGCGUAGGCGCAGCGAAAGCGAGUCUGAACAGGGCGUUCAGUUGCCGGCAUGAGACCCGAAACCGAGUGAUCUAGCCAUGGCCAGGCUGAAGGUGGGGUAACACCCACUGGAGGGCCGAACCCACGCCUGUUGAAAAAAGUCGGGGAUGAGCUGUGGCUAGGGGUGAAAAGGCCAAUCAAACUCG